rnacentral:rRNA from 1 species
UACGUAGGGCGCAAGCGUUAUCCGGAAUUAUUGGGCGUAAAGAGCUCGUAGGCGGUUUGUCGCGUCUGCCGUGAAAGUCCGGGGCUCAACUCCGGAUCUGCGGUGGGUACGGGCAGACUAGAGUGAUGUAGGGGGAGACUGGAAUUCCUGGUGUAGCGGUGAAAUGCGCAGAUAUCGGGAAGAACACCCGUGGCGAAGGCGGCCCUCUGGAUCGUUGCUGACGCUGAUACGCGAAAGCGUGGGGAGCAACAGGAUUAGAAGUACC